CCUACGGGAGGCAGCAGUGGGGAAUAUUGCACAAUGGGGGAAACCCUGAUGCAGCGACGCCGCGUGAGUGAAGAAGUAAUUCGUUAUGUAAAGCUCUAUCAGCAGGGAAGAAAAUGACGGUACCUGAGUAAGAAGCCCCGGCUAACUACGUGCCAGCAGCCGCGGUAAUACGUAGGGGGCAAGCGUUAUCCGGAUUUACUGGGUGGAAAGGGAGCGUAGACGGCCGUGCAAGUCUGGAGUGAAAGGCGGGGGCUCAACCCCCGGACUGCUCUGGAAACUGUACGGCUGGAGUGCAGGAGAGGUAAGUGGAAUUCCUAGUGUAGCGGUGAAAUGCGUAGAUAUUAGGAGGAACACCAGUGGCGAAGGCGGCUUACUGGACUGUAACUGACGUUGAGGCUCGAAAGCGUGGGGAGCAAACAGGAUUAGAUACCCCAGUAGUC
rnacentral:rRNA from 1 species